ensembl:lncRNA
CAGGAAACUCUCCUGAACUGGUUCAGCUGCAGAGAUGGUGUUUAAUGAGGCGACGGUGGAGACGAGAGCAGAUCCUCAGACUCUCAGAGAACCUUAACAAUCAUCAGAAGGAGAUCGGGAGAUGAUGGGAGCGUCGGUUCUUUGGAUGCUGACGUUCUGCUUCGGUGUCGGAGGAGUCGCUUCAUGCUCAGAUGAACCGGCCAUCUCCGUGUCUGAACCCAGUAAAGUAUUGAUCUCCUGCCCAUCGUUCAGCUUCAGCAGCUCAGAGAUCAGCUACCUGCUGCUCUUCAACGGCAGCAGCAUCUUUCAGAUAUAUCUGAGCAAGAAGCACGAUUCUGCAGAGAUUUUAUUCUCCACUCAGAUUGAAAUCACAGCUGAUAACAGUGGAGAGUUUAUCUGCAGGCAGGAAAAGACUUACCCUCCUCCAUUCAGACAGGACUGUUUGAGAACUGCAGUCAACGUUUCAGCAGAGCAGUCUAUGACGAGAGUCAACGCCACAGCUCCAUCAGCCAAUCAGAGCUGUCCGGACCGGUCUCCGUUAAUCCCAGAGGUGGUGAUGUGGACCGGAGGUGGAGUUCUAUUGGUCUAUAGCUUCACCAUCACCUGCAUUACUGUUGUUAUCUGGCGGCAGAAUCAGAAGCUGAAGAGAGACGAAGACACAAAGAUCUACAGCAACAUCAGACCUAAAGGAAUCAAGAAGCCUAAUAAAGCUUAACAGCAACUAGUGGAGAAAAUCCACCGCAAUGAAAGCUACGAAUGAUUAGUGGAAGACGACACUGAAUGUACAGAAGAAGGGUUUCUUUUAAACUGAAACAUGCAAAACCUACAUGAGAUAAAUCCUGCAAUAGAAAUAUGGCUUCUGCAGCAAUUAAUACAUUGAAAUCCAAAGUUCAGGAGUGGAAAAAACUGCCACAAUCCCUCAGAUACACAAGAAACCCAAAGAUACACAGAAACUGUAUCGACAGAUUCACUGGAAGCGUGAUUUAAAAGACGAGGAGUGCAAUAAAAAUCCACAAAAAUGCCAAAUAAUUUCCAAUAAAACAAACUAUUCAUACAAAACAUUACUGUUAUCUGAUCAACAUUUACAUUUUAAAACCAACUGAACGUAUUUCUUGGGAUUGUUUUCUGAAGUGGAGUUUUGAACCAACAAAUAACUUAGAGUUUAACUUUAAACCUCAGAUUAUUCACAGCUGUGCCAAUUUUUGAUGUAAAGUGAAUUUUUGUUUGAUUAAUGGAUUCUACUGGCAGGAAAUGACAAACAAAGACGUUAAGGCUUUGCGUUAGACAUGAUUAUAAUUUUGAUAAAAUACCACAUCCAGAGUAAUUCAUCUUCUUUCUCAGUAAUUGAUAUCAAAUCCUUCAUCUUCCAGCCCAUCAAUCAAACAGCUCUUAUAAUAAUAACAGUCGUUCUGCAGGUCUUCACUGGGAUCUAGUUCCUCUUUGGGAUGAUCUCCAGCUCUUUGAGGUCUCUUGGUUUUCAGCUCCUCCACUGUUUGUCUUCACCUUUUCUUCACCACUUUGGCUUCAAAACUUUGUUGUGUUAGAAGUUUUUCUGCAGACUUUUCUCCACGAUCUAAACAUCAUCCUCUUUUCUCAUGAUGUUGUUUACUUUGAUGAAACUUCCUGGUCCUUCUUCUGAGACCUGUUUGACACUGAAGAUACUGAUCACGAGGUUCAAAGCUUGUACUUUCCUCGUGUCCAAACAUUUUCCUCUCAUUCGUCCACAGAAGUGAUGAGCAGCAGUGUCCUUCUUUGUCUGGCUGAGCUACUGAGAGUCUUCUUUGGUCUUCAGUGGAGACCAGCCCUGUUCAGUGUCUGACGGAGAUGUUUCUACCCGAACUUUUCACAUUCAUCAGGAUGUUCUUUGUGCUGAUCCUUGGAUUCUAGCAGAUGUUUCACACUGUGGAACUCUUCUGCUCCUUGACGAUGCUUUGCUCUCUGGACAGUGGACCUUGCAAACACUUAGAUGUGACCUUCUAGCCUUGAAAAGUCUCUCAGUGAUGAACUCUAUCAGCAGCUCUGAGCUCUUUGGUUUUAGCCACGACUGGUAACUGACUGUUACCAUCUGUUCUCACUUUAAUGUACUGUGUUGGUAAAUUAACAAGCAACAGAUACUUUAUUCAUCCCUUUGUGCAAUUUAAGGUCUCCAGUGGCUCACACACAUUACAUUUAAUAAAAACAAGAAACCUAAUAUGUAAAAACAUGAAAAGACACAUGCAAAUCUUGCUGAUAGAGGAAAUAAGAUGCAUGAUUGUGCUGAUGUUUACAAUAAAGAAGAUUCUUUAUUGUAAUGUAGAAAAUGUAGAAAUAGUUCAAAUCUAUCUCCUCUAACACAACAUUUUACUGUCUUCUGUCAUUUGUUUUUCCUUUCCAGUCAGAAGAAACCUUCUGGUCAAAUGAAAAUUCAAAUCAAAAUCAAAAUUUAGCAUGGAUAUAAAUAAUUUGAGGC